AACGAAAAUUGAAGGAUAUAAACAAAAUAAACAAAUACGAACUUUGAUGAAUGUCAAAAAAUCAUACUGUUGUCGAAAUAAAUGAAGAAAAGUGUGCAGUUUAUAGUUAUUUUAGGCGCGCUCGCUUUUUGACUCACAUCCCAAAAACCUACAAAAGAGAGGUGACACUUGUGGGGGGCACAAGCGCACCCCGAGUGGAGAAUGUCGAUGGGAAAGAUUACUGUCAAAUAGUUCCUUGCAGAGAGCGCCAAACGUUAGUUAUAAGGAAGCUGUCAAACUCCCUAGUAAAUUAUAAAACUUGUCGAUAUUUUAUUAUUAAAUGGGUCGGUGUGUGGCUAUUGGAUAUGAAGAAGAAGAGGGACAAGAGCAUUGAGAAGACCAUUAUUAUCUAUUUAAAAGCAACUGAUUAUUGUAAGUUACGUACUAAGCACUUCAAAGUUACAUAUUUUGUUUUUGAGGCAACUGGUUUCCCACUUUCUUGGAAUUUUUUAAAUAAAUCUGCAGUACCAACACUGUUUUCUUGUAACAAUGCGUCAAGUCAAGAUACUUCUACACGAGCUGAACGUUUGAAACGAAGAAAUGUUAAGCCUUGCCUCAUACCCAGCAUUGUGACAGGAACGGCUGAAUCUGUAGUUGACAAGAACACUGCUGCGGCUAUGACUUCAACUGACCAAGGCUACGCUCAUGAGCAGAAUUUAGAAGUACUCACCUUCAGAAAUGGAGGAUAACGAAGGAGGCGGGGAAAACCCUCCCACCUCAAAUAAACAUCCUCGCUUGAGGAUCAUGGUGAUGACCCCAAGGCAGACAUGGUUGUCGGAGGCGGUGAGCGUAAUGACAAUCUUUUACCGUUUUACAAACCGAAUUUUAAAAAACUUCCGAAUAAUUAAAUACAGAAUUAUAAGUAUUUGUCAAAGCUACUAGUAUUUCUCAGACUGGGCAACAAGAGCCCGAUUUACUUAAUCCACAUUUUUGCAACUGAAGUUAAAGGUUUGAAAAUCGCCAAUUCAAAGAGUGAAUGCCAGUAUAAUUGCAGUUAUUUUGAAGCAGUAUAAUACAUUAAAUAAAUUUAUUAACAAUUCAUCAUUCAAAAAAUAUGAAAACAAAGCUUCCAUUCCUGUUGCGGAGAUUGAAAAGACAGGAAUGUUAAGAUUCGUUCCGGCUAACAUAUUCAAUAAAGAGUUGUACAGUAGGCUAUCGUCAAUAUAUGAAAUUAUUGAAAUCAGAAAAUUCACAAAGAGGUCAUGAGUAUGUUCCUUUACAAACUGUAAGCAUUACUUUUCUAUCUAAUAUUCUACUAGAUAAUAUAAAAUAUGACUUAUUCUCUUAUAGAAUUUUUGAAUAUAUACCACCAAUGCAAUGAUGUUUCAAGUUUAACCACUCAGCUAAAAUCUGUAACGGUAAACAAAAUUUUUCAAUUUGUGGAGGUGAACACUUAUAUAAGGAAUGUGACAAGCUCACUGAUAUCUGUUGUGUAAAUUGCAGUGGACCUCAUCAAGCCAUUUCA